rnacentral:rRNA from 1 species
UGUGAACUCGAAGAGUAGGGCGGGACACGUGGUAUCCUGUCUGAAUAUGGGGGGACCAUCCUCCAAGGCUAAAUACUCCUGACUGACCGAUAGUGAACCAGUACCGUGAGGGAAAGGCGAAAAGAACCCCGGCGAGGGGAGUGAAAAAGAACCUGAAACCGUGUACGUACAAGCAGUGGGAGCACCUUUAUGGUGUGACUGCGUACCUUUUGUAUAAUGGGUCAGCGACUUAUAUUCUGUAGCAAGGUUAACCGUAUAGGGGAGCCGCAGGGAAACCGAGUCUUAACUGGGCGUUAAGUUGCAGGGUAUAGACCCGAAACCCGGUGAUCUAGCCAUGGGCAGGUUGAAGGUUGGGUAACACUAACUGGAGGACCGAACCGACUAAUGUUGAAAAAUUAGCGGAUGACUUGUGGCUGGGGGUGAAAGGCCAAUCAAACCGGGAGAUAGCUGGUUCUCCCCGAAAGCUAUUUAGGUAGCGCCUCGUGAAUUCAUCUUCGGGGGUAGAGCACUGUUUCGGCUAGGGGGUCAUCCCGACUUACCAACCCGAUGCAAACUACGAAUACCGAAGAAUGUUAUCACGGGAGACACACGGCGGGUGCUAACGUCCGUCGUGAAGAGGGAAACAACCCAGACCGCCAGCUAAGGUCCCAAAGUCAUGGUUAAGUGGGAAACGAUGUGGGAAGGCACAGACAGCCAGGAUGUUGGCUUAGAAGCAGCCAUCAUUUAAAGAAAGCGUAAUAGCUCACUGGUCGAGUCGGCCUGCGCGGAAGAUGUAACGGGGCUAAACCAUGCACCGAAGCUGCGGCAGCGACACUAUGUGUUGUUGGGUAGGGGAGCGUUCUGUAAGCCUGCGAAGGUGACCUGUGAGGGUUGCUGGAGGUAUCAGAAGUGCGAAUGCUGACAUAAGUAACGAUAAAGCGGGUGAAAAGCCCGCUCGCCGGAAGACCAAGGGUUCCUGUCCAACGUUAAUCGGGGCAGGGUGAGUCGACCCCUAAGGCGAGGCCGAAAGGCGUAGUCGAUGGGAAACAGGUUAAUAUUCCUGUACUUGGUGUUACUGCGAAGGGGGGACGGAGAAGGCUAUGUUAGCCGGGCGACGGUUGUCCCGGUUUAAGCAUGUAGGCUG